UACGUAGGGGGCAAGCGUUGUCCGGAUUUAUUGGGCGUAAAGCGCUCGCAGGCGGUCCGAUGCGUCGUGCGUGAAAGCCCCCGGCUCAACUGGGGAGGGUCAUUCGAUACUGUUCGACUCGAAGGCAGGAGAGGGAAGUGGAAUUCCGGGUGUAGUGGUGAAAUGCGUAGAUAUCGGGAGGAACAUCAGUGGCGAAGGCGGCCCUCUGGUCCAGUACUGACACUCAAGUGCGAAAGCGUGGGGAGCAAACAGG
rnacentral:rRNA from 1 species